GGGGAUGAUUUAGGACUCGACGAGAUUCAUGAAACCCAAGGUGCAUGCCGAGGUGACGGCUGGCCUCGUAAAAAGCCGUCAAAGUUAUAGUUGCAAACGACGAUAACUACGCUCUAGCAGCUUAGGCUAGCUAGCCUUCCACCCACGUUUCUCCUAUGGGCAGGGAUUCGGAAGGUCAUUUACAUUUGGAUAGCGAGGGAACCUUGUUCGAGGGUGAACCGCGAAAUAGUAUCGAACUCGCUCUUUGCAAUCCUGUCUGUCGGAGUGUCGAGAGUUAAUCUAAAGAUAGACUAAGCAUGUAGUACCGAGGACGUAGGCUUUUCGGACGGGGGUUCGACUCCCCCCAUCUCCACCA
rnacentral:tmRNA from 1 species